AGGCGUAAGGUUCCAUGCGAGCGGUAAGAGUGCGGCGGGACUUGGAAAUCGAAUCUGUGCUCUGUGAGAGAUCCUAGGAAAGGAAACUGGGAGCCCGGGAGAACUAAAAUUCCCAAUUAAAAGUGAAUUUAAAUCUGAGCUGUUCUUAGACCCAGAAUUUCUUGCCUGAAGGAGGAAUCAGGUCCCCACAAGGAAAGACCCUGCAACUGUAUAAAAAAAGAAUCUAAAAAGAUCAUGACUCCUUCAGUCCUUUCCCAAAGAGACCUAUGGAAAUUUCCUCAGCUCAGUGCACUGACUUGACACGACAUGAGGCAAACAAGUGAGGAGAGUGGCCCACCACAGUCUAAGAUUCUAUUGGGUUACCUCUGAAACGCGAAGACAUGCUGCUCACAGAAGAGAACAAUGGGUACAAGGACUGCAAGGCUGCAAAGCUUCAUCCCAACAGCAAUUUUCUGUACAACAAAUUUCUCUGAAGAGAAAAACCCAGAUCAUUGAUUGCAUAACAGCCUUCUUUACACACUGGUUAAAAUAUAACGGCAUGUUCCCUCUUGUUCCUGUGGGUCAAUCAACUUAGCUUCCAUUUCCACUCCCAAAAAGAGAAAUAUUAUUGGCUUAGUUAGGCUGUUGCUUGAUAAUUAAACACUCAAAAAGAGUAUGAUGAGAGUUGCUCUUAAUUUAGACUAUCUAGAAAAUGUGUAACUCCUUGGGGAAGGUAGGGCCAAGAAUAAAAGGGUAGUAAUACAGUAGGAUCUUGUCUGGUUUAUUGCAGAACAAUAGCUAUAGAAUAUUGACUAAUGGAUAUAUAGCCCAUGUUGAGGGAGAUCUACCGUGAAGUACUAUAAAUGUCUUCCCUUGCCUCUGACUUUUUCAACAUUUUAAAUUUAUGAAGAUGUAAAAAGUGAGUUCCUCAAAUCUGGCUAAUCCAAUCCAAUGUUGAAGUGCAGUUUGUAAGGAUGAUUACAGGAUCUCUGUUCAAAAAGAUGUUUCCUUGACCAUAUGGAAUGAUAGGCCCACCCCCAAUAGGAAUACUAUUUCAUGGAAGCUGGUUCAAGCAGUAAAGACAUCAGGUUACUUUGAAUCUCAUUUAUUUAAAGGUCACCAUAAUAGCCAUCAAUUAAAUCCAGGCCCAUCCCCUAUCAUCUUGAAAGUAGCAUCAAAUAACAUUUUGUCUAGUAUGAGGCCAUAUCCUACCCUCUGUAAGUGAGUGGAGCCCUCUUCCCCUACAUUCCCAUUGGUUAAUGCACUUGAAUGUUCUUGAAGUCAGAAUUGGCAAAUUUGCAAAAUAAAUCAGCCUGCCCACAAUUAACUUCUGAGAAGAAAAUGAUUUUUUUUCUUUUUUCUUUUCUUUUUUUUUUUUUUUUUUUGAGACAGAGUCUCACUCUGUAGCCCAAGCUGGAGUGCAGAGGCGUGAUCUUGGCUCACUGCAACCUUCACCUCUGGGGCUCAAGCAAUUCUCCUGCCUCAGCCUCCCAAGUAGCUGGGACUAGAGGUGUGCCCCACCACACCCAGUUAAUUUUUUUUGUAUUUUUAGUAGAGACAGGGUUGCACCAUGUUGCACUGGAUGGUCUCAAACUCCUGAGCUCAGGAGAUCCACCUGCCUCUGCCUUCCAAAGUGCUGGGAAUACAGGCGUGAGCCAUCGUGCCUGGCCAGAAGAAAAUGAUUGAGAUUUCAAACUUUUCCUUUUGAGAUUUAAAACUAUUGAAUGAUAUUUAAUGAAUUAAAGUGACCUCCACUGUAACCACUUGUUGUAUAAGAAAGAAGAAGAAAUAAGAAAAUAUGUGUGUGUCUGCUCAUAUGUGGAGAAAGAAACAUAAGAAGGAUAGAUUAGAAAUCAAUGAGACUGGUUAUCCACGGGAGGUGAGUGGAAACACACUGGAAAAGACAGGGUAGAAGAGACAGGGAGGGACGCUUCUUUGGGUGAAGUGUUUUGAAUAGUUCUGAACUUUAGAACUACUCUGAAUUUUAGAACCAUGUUCUUUUCACAUAUGUACUUAAAACAAGCAAACAAAUAAAUUUUAAAAAAUAAUACAAACAAAAACGAACCUGUGUUUCAAAUGAAUAACAUAAUCACACUGAAGGAGAGAAAGAAAAACUAACCCAAGUAACUUUUACCUUAUCUUUUUAACAUAAAAGUUAACUUUAAAACAAACAGUCAAAAUAGUU
rnacentral:lncRNA from 1 species